rnacentral:ncRNA from 1 species
GAUGAAGCGUUGUUGCCACAGUAAUCCUGCUCAGUACGAGAGGAACCGCAGUAUUCAGACAUUUGGUUCAUGGCUUGGCUGAUAAGCCAAUGGUGGAAGCUACCAUCUGAGGAUUAUGACUGAACGCCUCUAAGCAGAAUCCCGCCUGGAAAGCGACGAUGCAUUCGUGCCUCGGCCUCGAGAGGCGUAGCUAGACGGCCGGUGUGGCCGUGGAAAGAGCCCGAUUCCGACCCGAGAGGCCGCGGCAAGAGGCGGUAUAAGGUUUAUUUUUUGGAAACAAGUUAACAAGUGUGUUAUCCAACCAUCUACCAAUUUUCAUGUACUUUCUACAAUAAAUGUUGAUUUAGGUAUAUCAAAGCUGUUUCAUCUGAACCAAAGGGAUUAUAUUGAGAUAUUGACGUCGUGUGAUUGCGUGAAUGGCGCACGUUUAAAACCCAAAUGAGAUAUAUGGGUUAUUUUGGGAAUAAGUUUAGAAUAAAUCUUCUUCGAUAUGAACAAUUUUGAAGUUGUCGUAGGCACAAUGAAAAUUCAAAUUGAUUCAUACUUCAAUUUU